UCUUUCCAGCUCCUCUUCUUAACUUGAACGCUUCUUUGUUUACCAGAAAAAAAAAAAGCUUAACUCUUUCUUCUCUGUAAAAAAAAAAAAAAAACUCCUUUACUGUGCUAAAGGAUUGGAAAUCAGCAAUCUGUUGGAUAUUUAAUUUAAUUAAUUUGUUGUUUGUGGUUAUUGUUUCUUUGCUUGCUUUCUGAUUUAGGUUUUUUGAUUUUUUAAUUGGGGCUUUUCCGUUCUAAUAGUAAAAGAAUGAAAGUUUCUUGCCUGGAGUUUUGUUUCGGAUUUCUUAACUUUCAUGCAAGAACAAGACCCAAUUCGAUUAGAUUGAAAUUUGCUGAAAGGAAGAUAUGAUGUUGAUAAUGGAUCAAUUACAUGGUGCUUAGAGAAAGAUGGAUCCUUAAUUGGAGUCUUGACCACAGAGAAUUUCAAAAGUGAAAAAAACUUCUACAAAUAUCCCCAUACGUGAGAUAUUAUUGCUACCAAACGACCCAUGUUCAAGUGCAAAUGGCAACAGGAAGAACAUAUGCUCAAUUAUGGGCACCUAUUGGCCAUUUUGUGUUCCUCAUGCUUAUGAACAAGGGAUUUCUAAUUUGCAGCAACUCUGAUUUGUAAAUUCAUUUCGUUCUAUUUUAUUCAUUCCUACUUCUAGCAUUGGAGGAUAUUACUGAAAUAUUUUGUCUUAAUGUUUCUGUGUGUAUGAAAUUUUUAUUUGAUAAUUUGAAAGAUUCAGAUUAUGAAAUGAGGGAUAAAGCAAUUAAUGAUGUUUGGGCGCUUUGAUAGUGUUGAAUCAGCAGUAUUGCUUUGCAAUGAUGAGUUCAUCCGCAAACUUAAUAAGCAUUGGAGAGAUGAGGAUAGACCUACUAAUUCCCUUAAAUAUCUCAAGAUAUACCUGAACUUGAGCUUCCAGUUGUAAGAAAAUGCUUUAAUAUUUGCAUGUCACACCUCAUGUAACAUAAAUGACUAAGACCCUGUCCAACAGUUAAUAUUGCGAGACAUUGUGAUUUCAGUGGAGACAACAUCAAGGCAAGCAGAAGAAAGGGGUCAUAGUUUACUGGACGAGAUGCCCAUCUUACCGGUGCAGGUUCAUGAUUUGCCACAUAUUUUGGGGUUCGAUCAUGAGAUUAGUGAUGAAGCUAAAGCUGAAAUGGAGAAAAAAGAGGAGUUUCUUCUAAAAAGUCUUGGGUGGAAGGAAAAAGUAUUAAUUCAGAGCGCAUAUGAUACCGAGGUUGUUGGAAGUCCUCCUUUGGAGAACAUUGGUGAUGUGCCUAAUAACAACUAAAAGACUAUGGCCUUCUAUAUUUUAUUUUUUGGGAAUUGAUAAUUUGUAUUCUUCAACAUCAAGAAAAUGUUGGUACCCUCAAAAAAGAAUUACAAUCAUAUGAAA